rnacentral:lncRNA from 1 species
AGAGUUCACCAGGCCUGUGACCAAGUGUUUCUAUCUCUGGUGCAUGGCCCCUUUGGAGUCUCCAAACCCAGAAGAUUCUUGCUGCAUGCUCCUGUGCUGCUCCUCCUGGAAGAGGAAGGAGGGGGUCUCUCCGAAUCUGCCACUUGUGUGACCCCUGCUCAAAGAGCAGUGGUCUGGCUGUGCCAUGGAUCACAGUUUAAGGUGAGGAAUCACAAAAUCCUACCACUGAAGUAAAGGAAUUAACACUGCAUGGAAAUGAAUUGGAACUGAUGUUAGUAAAGUAAAGAAGACCAUGUUCUACUCCAUGAAGAGUAAGGUAAAAAUGGAAUUAUUUUUGCUCUCCUAUUCUGUAGAU